UCCAUCUUCAGGCUUUGCAAAGCUGGUAAUAUCGACCCCAAGCAGCAUAUCUAGUUCAAGGGUGGUUUCAACUGGUUCAAUCUCAACUGUAACAAGGUCAUAUACACAAAAUCCAACUUACUAUCAAUUAUAGUUUCUGCUAUCGGUGAAGCAGGUCCACUGUCCACACUCCCACCAAAACCAGUUAUAUUGCAGAAUGGGGGUGACCAACCAAUGUUGCAAUGACAAUGCAAAAGAUUGUUGCAUACCUUGAUCCAGUUGUAUUAGUCAGUUAAGUAGUUUGAAACCAUAAAAAUCUUGUACAAUGACAAUGAUAACUUAAGACUUAUCUCUGCUACCAUAGUGUCAAGACUCUUAUGAGCAGUUGCUCUAACCAAGUGGUCACUUACGAGUUG